AGAUCUUAAUGUUCGAGUCUAUGCUCAUUGUACAAAUAGAAACAGUAGUAUAGGUUAUAAACCAGGCAGUAUAACGGUAUAUAUAAUGAAUAUUGGAAGUGAAACAGUAUCUGUUGAUAUACCAUUUAGUUCAAGUAAAACACAACAAAGAUAUAUUUUAUCACCUGGAGAUGAUAAUGGUUUAACCUCACAAUUUGUAAAACUAAAUGGAGUAGUUCUGAGGUUACCUAAUGAUUAUGAGUUACCUCCCUUGAGACCCCUCUACAGUCAAGGCACGCUCCAGCUAGAAGCCUAUAAUAUGGUAUAUAUCGUUAUACCAGAUGCUAUGAAAGCAGAAUGUCUUUAAUUGCUAAAACUCAAUUUAAGUUUUAAUAACUUCACACUACAACGUCAGCAGCAUGCCACGACUUACGAAUAAUACUCACACACG